rnacentral:rRNA from 1 species
GACGAACGCUGGCGGCGUGCCUAAUACAUGCAAGUAGAACGCUGAAGAGAGGAGCUUGCUCUUCUUGGAUGAGUUGCGAACGGGUGAGUAACGCGUAGGUAACCUGCCUGGUAGCGGGGGAUAACUAUUGGAAACGAUAGCUAAUACCGCAUAAAAUGGAUUAUCGCAUGAUAAUCCAUUGAAAGGUUCAAAUGCAUCACUACCAGAUGGACCUGCGUUGUAUUAGCUAGUUGGUGGGGUAACGGCUCACCAAGGCGACGAUACAUAGCCGACCUGAGAGGGUGAUCGGCCACACUGGGACUGAGACACGGCACAGACGGAUACGGGAGGAAGCAGUAGGGAAUCUUCGGCAAUGGACGGAAGUCUGAGCGAGCAAGGCCGCGUGAGUGAAGAAGGUUGUCGGAUCGGAAAGCUCGGUUGUAAGAGAAGAACGAGUGUGAGAGUGGAAAGUUCACAAUGUGACGGUAGCUUACCAGAAAGGGACGGCUAACUACGUG